CAGCAUUUCCUGAAGGAAGCAGUCGCUCUUCGUUGCCAGCCCCUGCUGCAGGAAGGAAGGCCAAGCCAGACACAGGCACAGGCACAGGAGACUGGGAUACUGGGAAGGCUUCUCCAUUAACCUGGAGGUUUGAAAUUUUGAAGCCCACUGAGGGUUCUGCAGUUACAGAUGUGACUGCAGGGAAGACUUCCCUAGCACUUGGGCUGCAUGCUGCGCACCAUCCCAGCUCCCAUCACAGGGAUUCUCCAACAGGAAAGCCCAAACACACGACAG